AAGGCUAAACCAUUUUGCAAAUAAAAGGAAAAGGAAUGAAUUACCAGGAAAGAAGUGCAAACACAAAUGAGGCUACAAGGCUAAAUCUACAAGUUACAUUUUCAGAUCAGAGGAGGGAAGACGAACCAAUUCUCUCACAAUUCCGAGAGUUCAUCUGCCAGGUACUGGAAGGGAUGAAGUCGCGGAGUCCACGCCCACCAGGAGCGUCAAAAUUUUAUGCAACUUUUGAGUAUCGUUCAGUAGUUUGUAGCGUUUAAAAAGGAACUGAGAAUUUGCCUUAUAGAAUGAAAGGUUACGAAAGAUUUUUAAUAACGGAUGAUUUUUAUUGUGUAUAUUAAGCUCCAUACACGCAACAGUUCCUCUUAAUUGUAUCGUGUCUGCAUUUGGACCACAUAGUGUAUAGUGUAAGUACCUGUGCACCUUUCCUGCAAUGCACAUCAAUGUUAUUGAUAAAUUUGGACAUUGUAAUACUAGUUUAUUAUUUUUAAUUUGGACACACCUCUAGUAAAAUGGUUUUCCAAAAAGUAGAGGUAUGUUUAGUAUUUGCAUUUCUUGUGUAAUUAGACAAACAUGAAAUAAUGUAGUUCUGAUUUGGAAAUAAAGCUGC